GCUGGAAUUGCGCGGCGUGUAGUUGAUGAACACGAAGCCGCGGCACUGGUCGAUCGCAUGAAACAGCGGGUUCCAGUCGAACAUCGCCACCAUGUAGCCGGGCAGGGUGUUGGCCACGAACAUCUUGCCGGACGCGAUCAUGUUGGCGCGCUG
rfam:Pseudooceanicola atlanticus strain 22II-s11g contig2, whole genome shotgun sequence.